rnacentral:rRNA from 2 species
GAGCNAAUCAAUGGGAGCUUGCUCCCUUUCCCUUAGCGGCGGAAGGGUGAGUAACACGUGGGCAACCUGCCUAUAAGACUGGGAUAACUUCCGGAAACCGGAGCUAAUACCGGAUACGUUCUUUUCUCGCAUGAGAGAAGAUGGAAAGACGGUUUCGGCUGUCACUUAUAGAUGGGCCCGCGGCGCAUUAGCUAGUUGGUGAGGUAAUGGCUCACCAAGGCGACGAUGCGUAGCCGACCUGAGAGGGUGAUCGGCCACACUGGGACUGAGACACGGCCCAGACUCCUACGGGAGGCAGCAGUAGGGAAUCUUCCGCAAUGGACGAAAGUCUGACGGAGCAACGCCGCGUGAACGAAGAAGGCCUUCGGGUCGUAAAGUUCUGUUGUUAGGGAAGAACAAGUACCAGAGUAACUGCUGGUACCUUGACGGUACCUAACCAGAAAGCCACGGCUAACUACGUGCCAGCAGCCGCGGUAAUACGUAGGUGGCAAGCGUUGUCCGGAAUUAUUGGGCGUAAAGCGCGCCGCAGGUGGUUCCUUUAAGUCUGAUGUGAAAGCCCACGGUCUCAACCGUGGAGGGUCAUUGGGAAACUGGGGAACUUGAGUUGCAGAAGAAGGAAAGUUG